rnacentral:rRNA from 1 species
GUGGGGAAUUUUGGACAAUGGGCGAAAGCCUGAUCCAGCCAUGCCGCGUGCAGGAUGAAGGCCUUCGGGUUGUAAGCUGCUUUUGUACGGAACGAAAAGACUCCUUCUAAUAAAGGGGGUCCAUGACGGUACCGUAAGAAUAAGCACCGGCUAACUACGUGCCAGCAGCCGCGGUAAUACGUAGGGUGCAAGCGUUAAUCGGAAUUACUGGGCGUAAAGCGUGCGCAGGCGGUUAUAUAAGACAGAUGUGAAAUCCCCGGGCUCAACCUGGGAACUGCAUUUGUGACUGUAUAGCUAGAGUACGGUAGAGGGGGAUGGAAUUCCGCGUGUAGCAGUGAAAUGCGUAGAUAUGCGGAGGAACACCGAUGGCGAAGGCAAUCCCCUGGACCUGUACUGACGCUCAUGCACGAAAGCGUGGGGAGCAAACAGGAUUAGAUACCCCGGUAGUCC